UACGUAGGGGGCGAGCGUUGUCCGGAAUCAUUGGGCGUAAAGCGCGUGUAGGCGGUUCGGUAAGUCUGCUGUGAAAGUCCAGGGCUCAACCCUGGGAUGCCGGUGGAUACUGCCGAACUAGAGUGCGGAAGAGGCGAGUGGAAUUCCCGGUGUAGCGGUGAAAUGCGCAGAUAUCGGGAAGAACACCCGUGGCGAAGGCGGCUCUCUGGGACGGUACUGACGCUGAGACGCGAAAGCGUG
rnacentral:rRNA from 1 species